AAACAGAUAGCUUAAAUUUAAAGCAUUACAUUGAAGCUGUAAUUAUAGAAAACUUCUUUUGUUUA
rnacentral:tRNA from 2 species